GCUCAGGAUGAACGCUAGCGGUAUGCUUAACACAUGCAAGUCGAACGAAGCCUUCGGGCUUAGUGGCGGACGGGUGAGUAACGCGUGAGAAUCUGCCUUCAGGUCUGGGACAACCACUGGAAACGGUGGCUAAUACCGGAUGUGCUUCACGGUGAAAGAUUAAUCGCCUGGAGAUGAGCUCGCGUCUGAUUAGCUAGUUGGUGGGGUAAGAGCCUACCAAGGCGACGAUCAGUAACUGGUCUGAGAGGAUGAUCAGUCACACUGGAACUGAGACACGGUCCAGACUCCUACGGGAGGCAGCAGUGGGGAAUUUUCCGCAACGGGCGAAAGCCUGACGGAGCAAUACCGCGUGAGGGAGGAAGGCUCUUGGGUUGUAAACCUCUUUUCUCAGGGAAGAAGACAAUGACGGUACCUGAGGAAUAAGCAUCGGCUAACUCCGUGCCAGCAGCCGCGGUAAUACGGAGGAUGCAAGCGUUAUCCGGAAUGAUUGGGCGUAAAGCGUCCGCAGGUGGUUUUGUAAGUCUGCUGUUAAAGCGUCAUGCUCAACAUGAUAAAGGCAGUGGAAACUACUCAACUCGAGUGCGUUCGGGGCAGAGGGAAUUCCUGGUGUAGCGGUGAAAUGCGUAGAGAUCAGGAAGAACACCGGUGGCGAAAGCGCUCUGCUAGGCCGCAACUGACACUGAGGGACGAAAGCUAGGGGAGCGAAUGGGAUUAGAUACCCCAGUAGUCCUAGCCGUAAACGAUGGAUACUAGGUGUUGCUUGUAUCGACCCGAGCAGUACCGUAGCUAACGCGUUAAGUAUCCCGCCUGGGGAGUACGCACGCAAGUGUGAAACUCAAAGGAAUUGACGGGGGCCCGCACAAGCGGUGGAGUAUGUGGUUUAAUUCGAUGCAACGCGAAGAACCUUACCAGGACUUGACAUGUCGCGAAUUUCGGUGAAAGCUGAAAGUGCCUUCGGGAGCGCGAACACAGGUGGUGCAUGGCUGUCGUCAGCUCGUGUCGUGAGAUGUUGGGUUAAGUCCCGCAACGAGCGCAACCCUCGUUUUUAGUUGCCAGCAUUUAGUUGGGCACUCUAGAGAGACUGCCGGUGACAAACCGGAGGAAGGUGGGGAUGACGUCAAGUCAGCAUGCCCCUUACGUCCUGGGCUACACACGUACUACAAUGCUACGAACAAAGGGCAGCGACACAGCGAUGUGAUGCAAAUCUCAGAAAUCGUAGCUCAGUUCAGAUCGCAGGCUGCAACUCGCCUGCGUGAAGUCGGAAUCGCUAGUAAUUGCAGGUCAGCAUACUGCAGUGAAUUCGUUCCCGGGCCUUGUACACACCGCCCGUCACACCAUGGAAGCUGGUAGUGCCCGAAGUCAUUACCCCAACCUUUCGAGGAGGGGGAUGCCUAAGGCAGGACUGGUGACUGGGGUGAAGUCGUAACAAGGUAGCCGUACCGGAAGGUGUGGCUGGAUCACCUCCUUUUUAGGGAGACCUACCCACUCAGAUAUCAAAAGCACACAGUAAUUAGAUACUGAAUUGGUCAACCGAGGUCGGUCGCAGAGAUUGUUGAGGCUUUCAAACUAUUUUUGGUUCGGUUAGAAUUAGUGAAUGGAAAUCAUUCAUAGAUAAUGAUAAUUAGAUUAUCCGCUGAUUAAUUAAGAAAUCUUAAAGCAAGCGAUAGAUGGAUAAAUUCAGCAAAAUGGCGUAAGAGUCAGACUGCUGGGUGAUUAUCCAGCCAGAACCUUGAAAACUGCAUAGAAACGCGAUUAAUUGUAGGCAGUUAACCGUUGACAGACAACAGUUAACUUUUUUACAGACAGCAAUUGUUUGAGUGGUCAAGCUAAUAAGGGCUAACGGUGGAUACUAG
rnacentral:rRNA from 1 species